GAAUAUUCCACAAUGCGCGAAAGCGUGAUGGAGCAAUGCCGCGUGCAGGAUGAAGCCCCUCGGGGUGUAAACUGCUGUCUGGGUUUAGAAACCAUGAUCAGACCCAAAGGAAGCGGCGGCUAACCCUGUGCCAGCAGCCGCGGUAAUACAGAGGCCUCGAGCGUUGCGCGGAAUUACUGGGCGUAAAGGGUGCGUAGGCCGAUAUGCAAGUGCUUUGUGAAAUCCCAGAGCUUAACUCUGGAACUGCUUGGCAGACUGCAUGGCUUGAGGACGGUAGGGGUUGCUGGAACGGUUGGUGGAGCGGUGAAAUGCGUAGAUAUCAACCGGAACGCCAAAGGUGAAGACCAGCAACUGGGCCGAUUCUGACGCUGAGGCACGAAAGCGUGGGGAGCAAACAGG
rnacentral:rRNA from 1 species